UACGUAGGGUCCGAGCGUUGUCCGGAAUUAUUGGGCGUAAAGGGCUCGUAGGCGGUUCGUCACGUCGGGAGUGAAACGUCGGGGCUUAAACCCCGAGCCUGCUUCCGAUACGGGCAGACUAGAGGUAGGCAGGGGAGAGGCGGAAACUCCGUGGUGUAGCGGUGGAAUGCGCAGAGUAUCAGGAAGAACACCGGUGGCGAAGGCGGCUCUCUGGGCCU
rnacentral:rRNA from 1 species